GUAAGCCCGCCCCGCAGUCAGUCACGGUGUACCUGUCUGUGAGCCCGUAGCGCCGGCACGGUGCCACGGUCCCUGCGGCAUUCACAGGCGCCACGAUCCGUGUGGCAUUCACAGGUACCACGAUCCCUAUGGCACUCACUGCCUCCAGUUUGCAGCGCUGCCAGAGAACACGUAAGAUGUGGUCGAAGGACCCGCGCGCCACCAUCCCUAUGGCACUCACUGCCUCCAGUUUGCAACACGAUCCCUGUGGCACUCACAGGUGCCACCAUCCCUGUGGCAUUCACAGGCGCCACCAUCCCUAUGGCACUCACUGCCUCCAGUUUGCAGCGCUGCCAGAGAACAGAUAUCCAUCACAUUUAAUCCAUGCAAAAAUACCUGCUUGGACAUGCAGAGAAACUGAGGCAACCAUGGUGAGG
rnacentral:lncRNA from 12 species